rnacentral:rRNA from 1 species
UACGUAGGUGGCAAGCGUUUGUCCGGAUUUAUUGGGUUUAAAGGGUGCGUAGGCGGUCUUGUAAGUCAGUGGUGAAAUACGGCAGCUCAACUGUCGAGGUGCCAUUGAUACUGUAGGACUUGAGUACAGACGAGGUAGGCGGAAUUGACGGUGUAGCGGUGAAAUGCUUAGAUAUCGUCAAGAACACCGAUAGCGAAGGCAGCUUACUAGGCUGUAACUGACGCUGAGGCACGAAAGUGUGGGGAUCAAACAGG